CUAGACAUUUCUAGAGGCAGAGGAGAUCAUUUCAUGUUUAUGGAAAAAACUGAUACAAAGGCAUAAGGUAAUGUGGAGCUGCUAAAGUUUCUUUAAAAGAGGACUGACAUGGUCAGACCUGUUCUUCAGGAAUUUCAAAUUGACAGCUUGUGUGAAGGACAGAUUGGAGAGGGGAGAGAGUCUGGAAACAAAGAGAUCAGUGAGAAGGCUGUUGGAGCAGUCCCUGUGAGAGGGGAAGGAUACUUGAAAAGAUAGGAACUGAAGACAUCUCAAGUUGAUUCAGCUUAGGAGAGCUCCCCUGCUUGAGUUGUUCAUCACGAUCCACCAGCCAGUCAUCACCAAGCUCCUCUUGACAACUUUGUACUCCAGCAACCAGGAAGUGAUGUCAACAAGCUGAAUUCUCAGUGCCCUAAGCCAACCAAGACUCAAGGAUGGUCUCAAUACCUCUUAUGAAAAAAAAAAUACAUACAUAUAUAUACUAAUUUGCAUAGAGGGAAGGUUUGGGAUAUUGUUCCCAUCAGAAAGGGGGUGGUCAACAAUCAAGCAGAGAAAUCAAGGAGGACAACUGAGAAAAGGCCAUUGGAUUUAGCAUUAUAGGUGUAAUAUUAAAUCCCCUCUGGGGCCAUUCCUUCAACUCCCACAGCCAUUGGCAGGCUGUAUACCCAGAGAGUCAUUGCUACUUCUCUGUCAAAGUUCUAAGGGUAACCCUCAAAUUUGUUGGAGUUUCUGGUGCUGUUACUCACAAGACCUACCUGUGAAUUUCCCAUCAGCCAGCAGUCUCAAUUAGUUUUUUAAAAGGAUAUUUAUUAAGAUUGUAUAUUAAGAAUAUAUUAAGUAUAUUAAUUUAUAUGAAGAAUAGUUGGUAUGAAAUAUUUCUCACCAAAAAUCUGGGGCAUAAGUCCCAUAAGUACACAGAGAUUCUAAAGGAAAAGUGGGUUUAAACUUAGCGCAAUGGUAGUGUGGCAAAGGGUUACAUAGUUCCUACUUACUAUAAGUCUUUUGUUUUCCUUUUUAGAAUCUUCAUGAAAUUCCCCUUAGGUGUAUGUAGCACUCUGCCAGGCUCUAAGGGUCAGUGCUUUCAAAGAGGCUUGAAUUUUUCUGUCCUAGGUGUGCCUAGUUUGUCUUCAAUAUACCUCUCAGUUCCUGAUUGGAUGUAUUUUCUCCUUUUGAUUCAGUCCUUCCAGCGACAUGAGCAAUGAGAGCACUUCCCAUAGGCUCAAUCUUUGUCCUUCUCCCCUUAGUGCUUUUCAGUAUCAGCACUAGGGUAUGAUUCCUUAUAGUGCUUCUGAACCUGAAAGGUACCUAAUAUUUUCUGCUUUGCUGACACACUACAUGUUUUUAAAUUUGCUGCCUAUAUUAUACACAAGUCUAGAGAUGUAUAUGAUUCAUUCAGCCAAUCAUGAAAUAAUUUCUUUUGAGGUGUCUUCUGCUUUUAUCCAUUGACUCAAGUACUUUGCUUCUCGAAAACUGAUUAAGGUCUUGUGCCCACCUAGUUUAUAUCUUCCAUGGAUUGACCUGCAUACUCUAUCAUAUACCAAUUGAAUAAAACCCUAAAUAUAUAAAGUCAGGCCAUUUUUUAAAUUUGAAGAAAAUAAAAGCAUAUAUGCUUCACAAACAUGGCUAUAAGAAUUUUUAACCAGAAAAAGGAGUAGAAGUGAUCAUUUUCCCCCAGUUAAUAACAUCUAGACACAUUUUAUGGAAAAAAAUUCCUUUUUAAAAUUUUUAUACUCUACAUUGUUUAUCUCCUCUUUUUCAAGUCACUUCUAUGCCUUCUUUGUUUACAAAUCUUACCCUUAACCAUAGUUGUGAGAAUUGUUUCCUACUGUUCUGCUUUAAUUUGUUUGAUAAUGUAAUUUUUUAAAAUUUAGGUGCUGGUCCUUUUGAAGCUUAUUGUAUUUAUAUUUCAUAAAUGUUAGUUUAAAACUAUUGUCUUCCAGGCUACUUUUCAGUUUUUCCAGCAAUUCAUGUCAUAAGGCAGAGGGGAGCAGUUGAGGAGGGGGUCUUCCUUGAGCAGUUUUUGUCUUUAGUAUAAUGAGGGAGAGGGAAGAACCAGAUAUUCUAAAUGGGAUAAUCCGAAAAGGAAGGCAUCCAGUAAGGGAGAGGUGGGGUGGGGGUGGAGGGAGAAUAGGAAAGGCUUCUUGUAGAAGCUGAGGUUAAGCUGAGAUUUGAAGAAAGUCAGGGAAGGCAGGAAGCAGAAGUGAAGAGACAGAGCAUUCUAGGUAUGGGGUACAUCCAAUGAAAAGGUAGAAGAGAUGGAGUAUUGUGGGGAACAGCAAGCAAACCAUUGAUUUUUGGUUUCAGCUUUGUUUAUCUCUUCUUUGAUUUUUAUCAUUUCUACUUUGAAACCUGUUUGGAGAUGAUUCAUUUAUCCAUUUUCUAAUUUUUUAGUUGUACUGUGUGUGUGACUCAUUGGUCUUUUUUUUUUCUUGUGUCUAUAUAGCACAUGGAAAUAUAAAUUUUCCUUUGAGGAAUGUUUUAGAUGCAGCUCACAAAUUCUGGCAUGUUGUCUCAUAUAAUUUUCUUUAAUAUUAUUGUUCUAUUAUUUGUUCUUUGGCCCACUCAUUCAUUCUUUAGGAUAAUAUUAUUCCGCAUUUAAGUUUACCUUUUCACAUUUCCUCACUGAUUACUCUUUUAUUGUAUUGUUGUCUCUAAAGGGUAUAUUUAAUUUAAAUGUCUGCAUUUAUUGAUGAGUUCUUUAUGCUCUAGCAAGGUGGUCUUCAAAAUGAGAUGACUGUGAUCAUUCCCCAAAAGGGGCUGCAGACUGACCCACUUAUGUGAUAAAUCAGUUUGAGAGUGAGACAACAGGUCACAUUUCUCUGUGUGAUAAUCAAUCUUGGGCAUAUCUCCAGCUCAUGCACAUCUGUCCUCAUACCCCAAACAUUUCCCCAACAACCUCCUUCUUUGUGCAAUCUCUCAUUUCCUCCUUACUUAUUCUAGCAUUGGCUACCCAGGGUUCCCAGCCACCCCACAGCAUCAGUUCACAUGCCAUUGAGAAAACUUUUUCCCACCACCUGCCCCCGAAGAUUAUUUUAUGGCUGCAGCAGGCAUUGUUGGAGAACAGACUUUGUACUCACAGAACAAUGAUCGGGGGAGUAAAAAUAAUGCCCCACCCUUUUCUUCUUGGGUGUGACAGAGUAGGUGACACAGGAUAAGCAGAUGUAGCUGGCUUGUGAUCUGCAUUGCAAAUAUAAUUACAUUAUCCUCCCCACCCUCCAACCUACCCCUUUUCCAAACUUCCAUAACACUUUCUAGGGGACUACCAUCCUUCUACUCUUCCAGGUUCUAAUAACCUCAGUGUCAUCUUUGACUGCUCACUUACACAAGUUCAGGCCUUUAUCAUUUGUCACCUGCACUGCUGUAAUAAUCUGUAAGUUGAUUUUUCCGACUCCAAACUCUCCUUUUUACAAUUCAUCAUCUACUCAUCCGUCAAAUUGAUAUUUCUAAGGAACAGAUCUGAUCAUGUUGGUCUUCUACUUGAUAAAAUCCAGUUGUUUCCUAUUGACACUAAAAUUAAAUAUUUAUUUUGUGCCUCGUCCUUUUUCAUUUCUAUUUUUGUGUAAGUUUUGCAAUGUGUAUAAUUAUUACUACCAUAUAUAAAUAUGUGGAGCUGCAUUAUUAAAAAUUAUUUUACUGUGAAAGGUCAAUAAUAAUUUUUUUUAAUUGCUACUCUAGAACACUGUCAAUGUUUGUAAAAAUGUCAGACAAUGAUGAAAAAUAAGCAUAUACUUUAAGAUUCAUACUCAAUAAUCCACAAAGGUCUAUUAUAACUUUUUAAAAAAUAAUCUGCUCAGAUCCUUAUUUCUUUGUCAUUCUGUUAGCUUGGUCUGAAUCUGAAAAAGCAUGGUAUAGUGAACGGAGUAUGAGGAUGUGGGUUCAAAUUCCCCAUCUAUGACCUUGGACAAAUCAUAUAACCUUCCAAGGCCUAAUUUCCUCAUUUGUAAAGUGAGAAUCCUGGCUUAAAUGGACUCUGAGCUAUAGAUGUAUGGUCCUCUGUGGAUACCAUGACACUGAAGUCCCCUAAUAUUAUUUUCUGCUAUCUGGGUCUUGUCAUUCACUUGACUUUUCCUUUGGUACUUUAAUGCCAUGGUAUUCAGUAAAAGUGUAAGUAAUACUGAAGCUGUUUCAUUGUCUGUGGUGCCUUUAAGCAUAAUGUGCUUGUCCCUCAUUUUUCCUGCCUACCUCUCUUAACUGUAUUUGCUUUUGCUUUGUCUUAAAUCAUGAUAGUCAUUUCUACUUUUCUGGAUUCAACUGAAGCAUAAUAAAGUCUAUUUUAACUCUUUA